UUUAUGGAGAGUUUGAUCCUGGCUCAGGAUGAACGCUGGCGGCGUGCCUAAUACAUGCAAGUCGAGCGAACAGACAAGGAGCUUGCUCCUUUGACGUUAGCGGCGGACGGGUGAGUAACACGUGGGUAACCUACCUAUAAGACUGGGAUAACUUCGGGAAACCGGAGCUAAUACCGGAUAAUAUUUCGAACCGCAUGGUUCGAUAGUGAAAGAUGGUUUUGCUAUCACUUAUAGAUGGACCCGCGCCGUAUUAGCUAGUUGGUAAGGUAACGGCUUACCAAGGCGACGAUACGUAGCCGACCUGAGAGGGUGAUCGGCCACACUGGAACUGAGACACGGUCCAGACUCCUACGGGAGGCAGCAGUAGGGAAUCUUCCGCAAUGGGCGAAAGCCUGACGGAGCAACGCCGCGUGAGUGAUGAAGGUCUUCGGAUCGUAAAACUCUGUUAUUAGGGAAGAACAUACAUGUAAGUAACUAUGCACGUCUUGACGGUACCUAAUCAGAAAGCCACGGCUAACUACGUGCCAGCAGCCGCGGUAAUACGUAGGUGGCAAGCGUUAUCCGGAAUUAUUGGGCGUAAAGCGCGCGUAGGCGGUUUUUUAAGUCUGAUGUGAAAGCACACGGCUCAACCGUGGAGGGUCAUUGGAAACUGGAAAACUUGAGUGCAGAAGAGGAAAGUGGAAUUCCAUGUGUAGCGGUGAAAUGCGCAGAGAUAUGGAGGAACACCAGUGGCGAAGGCGACUUUCUGGUCUGUAACUGACGCUGAUGUGCGAAAGCGUGGGGAUCAAACAGGAUUAGAUACCCUGGUAGUCCACGCCGUAAACGAUGAGUGCUAAGUGUUAGGGGGUUUCCGCCCCUUAGUGCUGCAGCUAACGCAUUAAGCACUCCGCCUGGGGAGUACGACCGCAAGGUUGAAACUCAAAGGAAUUGACGGGACCCGCACAAGCGGUGGAGCAUGUGGUUUAAUUCGAAGCAACGCGAAGAACCUUACCAAAUCUUGACAUCCUUUGACAACUCUAGAGAUAGAGCCUUCCCCUUCGGGGGACAAAGUGACAGGUGGUGCAUGGUUGUCGUCAGCUCGUGUCGUGAGAUGUUGGGUUAAGUCCCGCAACGAGCGCAACCCUUAAGCUUAGUUGCCAUCAUUAAGUUGGGCACUCUAAGUUGACUGCCGGUGACAAACCGGAGGAAGGUGGGGAUGACGUCAAAUCAUCAUGCCCCUUAUGAUUUGGGCUACACACGUGCUACAAUGGACAAUACAAAGGGCAGCGAAACCGCGAGGUCAAGCAAAUCCCAUAAAGUUGUUCUCAGUUCGGAUUGUAGUCUGCAACUCGACUACAUGAAGCUGGAAUCGCUAGUAAUCGUAGAUCAGCAUGCUACGGUGAAUACGUUCCCGGGUCUUGUACACACCGCCCGUCACACCACGAGAGUUUGUAACACCCGAAGCCGGUGGAGUAACCAUUUGGAGCUAGCCGUCGAAGGUGGGACAAAUGAUUGGGGUGAAGUCGUAACAAGGUAGCCGUAUCGGAAGGUGCGGCUGGAUCACCUCCUUUCU
rnacentral:rRNA from 1 species